GGGGUUAAUUCAGCUGCUGUGUUUUUUCUUAUUUUGAGGGAAGAGUGGUAAAUUUUGUUAUCUUCCAAAUAAUGUUUCAUUUGCCUCAACUUUCAGUGGGUUCUAUCUCAGUCCUUAUCCUAUUAAAUGGGUAAAAGGAUUUUACUUUUCAUUCUCGGGCCCCACCAACUCUCCAGGACUCGGGCAGGAACAGG